CCCCGGGGAAACUGGGGAUAAUACCGGAUAGAUCAUGGAUGCUGGAAUGCACCUUGAUCCAAAGCUCCGGCGCCCAAGGAUGGGUCUGCGGCCUAUCAGGUUGUAGUGGGUGUAACGUACCUACUAGCCGACGACGGGUACGGGUUGUGAGAGCAAGAGCCCGGAGAUGGAUUCUGAGACACGAAUCCAGGCCCUACGGGGUGCAGCAGGCGCGAAACCUUUACAAUGUGCGAAAGCAUGAUAAGGGAACUCCGAGUGCCAGUAUCUAAUACUGGCUGUCCUUGUGCCUAAAACGCACAAGAUAGCAAGGGCCGGGUAAGACCGGUGCCAGCCGCCGCGGUAACACCGGCGGCCCGAGUGGUAGCCGCUAUUAUUGGGUCUAAAGGGUCCGUAGCCGGUUCGAUAAGUCCUCUGGGAAAUCUGGUUGCUUAACAAUCAGACUGCCAAGGGAUACUGUCGAACUUGAGACCGGGAGAGGUAAGAGGUACUUCAGGGGUAGGAGUGAAAUCUUGUAAUCCCUGGGGGACCAUCUGUGGCGAAGGCGUCUUACCAGAACGGGUCUGACGGUGAGGGACGAAAGCUGGGGGCGCAAACCGGAUUAGAUACCCGGGUAGUCCCAGCCGUAAACGAUGCUCGCUAUGUGUCAGGUACGGUGUGACCGU
rnacentral:rRNA from 1 species